rnacentral:rRNA from 1 species
GCCUAAAGCGUCCGUAGCCGGCUUUGUAAGUUUUCGGUUAAAUCUAUAUGCUCAACAUAUAGGCUGCCGGGAAUACUGCAAAGCUAGGGAGUGGGAGAGGUAGACGGUACUCGGGAGGAAGUGGUAAAAUGCUUUGAUCUCUCGAUGACCACCUGUGGCGAAGGCGGUCUACCAGAACACGUCCGACGGUGAGGGAUGAAAGCUGGGGGAGCAAACCGGAUUAGAUACCCGGGUAGUCCCAGCUGUAAACUAUGCAAACUCAGUGAUGCAUUGGCUUGUGGCCAAUGCAGUGUUGCAGGGAAGCCGUUAAGUUUGCCGCCUGGGAAGUACGUACGCAAGUAUGAAACUUAAAGGAAUUGGCGGGGGAGCACCACAAGGGGUGAAGCCUGCGGUUCAAUUGGAGUCAACGCCAGAAAUCUUACCCGGAGAGACAGCAGAAUGAAGGUCAAGCUGAAGACUUUACCAGACAAGCUGAGAGGUGGUGCAUGGCCGUCGCCAGCUCGUGCCGUGAGAUGUCCUGUUAAGUCAGGUAACGAGCGAGAUCCCUGCCUCUAGUUGCCACCAUUACUCUCAGGAGUAGUGGGGCGAAUUAGCGGGACCGCCGCAGUUAAUGCGGAGGAAGGAAGGGGCCACGGCAGGUCAGUAUGCCCCGAA